UUUACUUCAGACGCCCGACAAGACCCUCAUCCCCGUAAUUCGCAGAAGAAAGAGACACAGGUCCCCCUUGGGAAUUGAGCCCACAACCCUGGAAUUGCAAGUGCCAUGCUCUACCAACUGAGCUACAUGGGACGGAACCACAUUGAAAAAGGUUGUGAAUCUCUCCUGGAGAAGAACUACACAUGCCUGCUGCAAGCGUCACGUAAUUCACCAGGGCCAUGAUGGUUGAACGAGACUGCUGAGUCGAGGCAAAGGUUUCAGCAUGAUGUUGCACGGCCCCAUGUCGCAAGGAUCUACACAAUUCCUGGAAGCUGAACAUUUCCCAGUUCUUCCAUGGCCUGCAUACUCACCUGGCAACAUUCCACAGGCCACAAUCACCAGCAUGAUCAACUCUAUGCGAAGGAGGCAAAUGGUGGUCACACCAAAUACUGACUGGUUUUCUGAUCCAAGCCCCUACUUUUUUUAAGCAUAAGAAGAACCUGCUCUCCUCCACCAGUACAAGGAGAUGAAUUCAGGUUCAAUUGUCUGGUGUCUGGUGUUGUAGUGGCUAAGGACCUUUCAGUCAGAUAUAAUCAGAUUUCAGCUGCUUUGCAAUGUUAACAUCACAGAAAUGUGCAAGCAUCAUCUGGACUGGACACCACCAAGCAAACAUAUUUUUGAUCAGGACUUUUACAAAGAAAAGGCCGUGAGGGCAGGACAGAAAUAGGCUAAACCUUUGUGUGUUUUACAUUUUUACUACUUGUAGGCAUAACUUUUGAACUUUUAAAGAUAUUUUAAUCUUGAAAUAUAUCUGACAUUCUCUUGUUACCUCUUAUUCACAGGUGUCCGUCUCAAACUUGGGCGUAGCUGGAACUACCGCCACUCUCGUUGUUGGAGAGUCAGAGUAAUUAAAUAUAAUUAACCAAGAUUACAAUAGACCCGUAUCCCUUCAGACAUUCAACCUCUAGUUGCGUACUCCCUCUAGCAUCAGGGUCAGCGUACUUUCAAAUGUUGUUUUUUGACAUCAUUGCAAGCCUGACAUACACAGAAAAUACGAUACAUUUAUUAAACAUAAGAAUGAGUGUGAGUUUUUGUCACAACCCGAAUCGUGGGAAGAGACAAAGAGCUCUUAUAGGACCAAGGCACAAAUAAUAAUAUAACAAUAAUCAAUCAUUUUGCUCUUUAUUUAACCAUCUUACAUAUAAAACCUUAUUUGUUAAUCGAAAAUUGUGAAUAACUCACCACAGGUUAAUGAGACGGGUGUGCUUGAAAGGAUGCACAUAACUCUGCAAUGUUGGGUUGUAUUGGAGAGAGUUUGUCUUAAACAAUUUUCCACACAGUCUGUGCCUAUAUUUAGUUUUCAUGCUAGCGAGGGCCGAGAAUACACUCUCACAUAGGUACGUGGUUGCAAAGGGCAUCAGUGUCUUAACAGCGUGAUUUUGCACACAACAAAUCAU
ensembl:lncRNA